UAUAAGCUAGAACUUGAAUUGUAUGAAUAAUAAUCUAUUUCGAUAUUUCGCGCAUUUUUUUAGUCAUAUUCAGAAUUUUGAGUGUUAUAUGAUGAAUAUAGAUUUCAGCAUUGAGUUCUUGUUUCUUUUCUUUUCUUAUACCUUUUGAGUGUAUUUAUUUUCGUGUUUUGCAACGUUUUUCUUUAUUGGAAUGGUCGAUGGUGGAGUGACGACUGAUUGAUGUAGGUAGAAAGAUUCUGCCGGGAACAGCGAAUCAAGGCGGUCUCAAUAUUACAAAUCUGAAUAAAGUGCGUACUGGACGUAAGUAAAAGAUGAUUAAUCUCACGUGAAGCAGAUGUAGAAUGGCAGUUUUAUCUUGAUAUAGAGUGUUUUAGAAUUGUACCAAUCGUAUUUUCCAUUUUAUUUUAAUCAGUUUUGUAUCCGGGUUUUAGAAGGUCAGCGCUUUUUUAGCCACCCCAGAUCGUGGGUCAUGAUAGGUAUUGAUUGGUUAGGGGCAGACUUUUUUGUGGUGAUGUGUACAUGUGAGGAGUAUAAUUUACGAAAUUUAUCCACAAUCAAGCCUGUUCAUGCAUGAGCCGAAUAUAAAUUUCAAAAAUCUCCAUUUUCCAAGGUGACUCUUCGAUUUUCUUCAUUUUCGUUCAUUUUGGGAUUUCUAUCUUCUUAUAAUAAGUUGGAGCUUCCUUCAUACUUUAUAUAUCUGCGUAAUCCAAUUAAUGAAGACACGAAAUUGAAUCGGGACAGUAAGUUUGCGGGAUUCAAACUUUGGUCACCAUGAACAAACUAAAGG